UGAGGAAUAUUGGACAAUGGGCGCAAGCCUGAUCCAGCCAUGCCGCGUGCAGGAAGAAGCAUCUAUGGUGUGUAAACUGCUUUUGUACGGGAAGAAACACUCCUUCGUGAAGGAGCUUGACGGUACCGUAAGAAUAAGGAUCGGCUAACUCCGUGCCAGCAGCCGCGGUAAUACGGAGGAUCCAAGCGCUAUCCGGAAUCAUUGGGUUUAAAGGGUCCGUAGGCGGUUUAGUAAGUCAGUGGUGAAAGCCCAUCGCUCGACGAUGGAACGGCCAUUGAUACUGCUAGACUUGAAUUACAAGGAAGUAACUAGAAUAUGUAGUGUAGCGGUGAAAUGCUUAGAUAUUACAUGGAAUACCAAUUGCGAAGGCAGGUUACUACUUGUGGAUUGACGCUGAUGGACGAAAGCGUGGGGAGCGAACA
rnacentral:rRNA from 1 species